UGUAGCUCAAUAGUAGAGCACUUACCUUUUAUGUAUGAGGGCCUGAGUUUGAUCCCCAGUA
rnacentral:tRNA from 1 species